AAAUGUUUAGCUGAAUGAAUUGUCAAUACUGCUACUAAUUGAAAAACAUAUUGAUUGAUUUGUGCAAAACUGAAUAGGUAGCACGUUGCCUAGGAUACCAUUUGUUAAGCCUGGACAUGUUUUCAUUGCCUGGACAACUCUCUUUUCAUUCCUUCACAAAGGGAAUAAUUAUUCAUGCACAAAUAAUACAAUUUAUAAGAAAGAAAUGUAGGUAUACUGUUGAAAAAAAAAAAUGUAGGUAUACUGUUGUAAAAUGGUUCAAUGGAUACACAGAAGUGUUUCAAACUCACUAACAUGGAUAUAAAAAGAACAAGCUAAUAACCAUACACGAGGCCAGUACAAAUCAAUGACACACCUAGCCAGCAGAGUUAAAAACAGACAUUAUGUAAGCCUACUCUUCAUCCUAUUCAUUCAUCCUAAUAGAGUCUUCAGUUGGAGGUGAGUCAUAUUAGCGAGGGUGAUUGCUACUUCUUUAAUCACAUUUUCAAACACUGAUGAGCUAGAAAACACUGCAGUGGAAAACUGAGUGUGUGACUUUAAUUUCCUUUACAGUUUUUGCCGAUUGCUUACCCACUCAAAGUUAAUGCUUCGAGAAAAGCAUCAACACCUUUUGUAACCAGGCCUUAAACAAAGGCACCAAAAGUACAAACACAUUUUCUGCUUUGCACUUUGUUUGCAAUUCUGGAACACACUUGCAAAACAGUACACGGUUUCUCACAUUAGACACUUUGUUCAAUAAUGAAAUCUCUUACAGUCAUUGGGGAAACACUUCUAUUCAAAACGCAAAACAUAGCUGAAAUUGACAACACCCCCACACACAUGAAAACACUUCAACAGUAAUUGAACACCAAUUAGUGUGAGCCUCAGCACUGCAAAUAGACCUCAUGUAAGAUCACGUCUUUUGUGAGAACUUUGCAAACAUGGAGGUAGUGAGAGCGAGAGGAAGAGGAAGAGAGAGAGGCGUAGGAGGAGAACGAAGAUAAGAACAAAGAGGACCAGGCAAUAGACAUAGACAUAUUUCUGACAACAUUAGGGCCACUUGGUGGGCCAUGUCAUAAAUCAUGGCCUGACGAUAAGGGAGGCUGGGCAGAGAGUCCAGCCCAACCUGAGUCGCUACACGGUAGCAUCCACAAUACGGACAUUUAGACUGGAGAACAGAACGUUGCCUUCUACCCUCAGGAGGUCAUCUGUUCACCCAUGAACAGGAACUGGCCAUUGUCAAUCUAGUGUUGGCAAACUACACCAUCCGCCUACAUCAACUACGAGUGCAAAUCCUCACAGAUCACACAACAUUCCAUAACAUCAACCGUGUCGGUAUGUCGACACUCCGCCGCAUCUUGCGUCAACACCAACUAACGAUGGAGCCGCUGUCCAGGGUUCCAUUUGAAGGAACAGCGUUAGAGUCAAAGACCUUCACUAUGACGAUGUGCAAAACGUUGCCUUCUACCCUCAGGAGGUCAUCUGUUCACCCAUGAACAGGAACUGGCCAUUGUCAAUCUAGUGUUGGCAAACUACACCAUCCGCCUACAUCAACUACGAGUGCAAAUCCUCACAGAUCACACAACAUUCCAUAACAUCAACCGUGUCGGUAUGUCGACACUCCGCCGCAUCUUGCGUCAACACCAACUAACGAUGGAGCCGCUGUCCAGGGUUCCAUUUGAAGGAACAGCGUUAGAGUCAAAGACCUUCACUAUGACGAUGUGCAAAGAGUCCUGGACUUUGAUGCAGCUGCACAGCCUCAUGAGUUCAUUCCAUUGAUGAAGCUGGAUUCAAUCUAGCUAAAACCAGGCGUCAGGGCCGACAUGUUACAGGACAAAGAGCCGCUGUGAAUGUCCCUGGGCAGCGCGGGGGAAUGUUACAGGAUAAAGAGCCGCUGUGAAUGUCCCUGGGCAGCGCGGGGGAAUGUUACAGGAUAAAGAGCCGCUGUGAAUGUCCCUGGGCAGCGCGGGGGAAUGUUACAGGAUAAAGAGCCGCUGUGAAUGUCCCUGGGCAGCGCGGGGGAAUGUUACAGGAUAAAGAGCCGUUGUGAAUGUCCCUGGGCAGCGCGGGGGAAUGUUACAGGAUAAAGAGCCGUUGUGAAUGUCCCUGGGCAGCGCGGGGGAAUGUUACAGGAUAAAGAGCCGCUGUGAAUGUCCCUGGGCAGCGCGGGGGAAUGUUACAGGAUAAAGAGCCGUUGUGAAUGUCCCUGGGCAGCGUGGGGGAAUGUUACAGGAUAAAGAGCCGUUGUGAAUGUCCCUGGGCAGCGCGGGGGAAUGUUACAGGAUAAAGAGCCGUUGUGAAUGUCCCUGGGCAGCGCGGGGGAAAUAUCACCUUGUGUUCUGCCAUUAGUCUGCAAGGAGUUCUGUAUCACCAUGCCACCCUUGGUCCCUACAAUACUGCACACAUAAUCAUAUUUCUGGAUGCACUACAUAAUGCAGCUGUACAGGACGGACUAGAGCAGCCCAGGUUUGUUGUCAUCUGGGAUAAUGUUCGUUUCCACCGGGCUGCUCUGGUCAGGGACUGGUUCACCAACCACAAUAACUUCACAGUUGUACAGGAUGGACCAGAGCAGCCCAGGCUUGUUGUCAUCUGGGAUAAUGUUAGUUUCCACCGGGCUGCUCUGGUCGGGACUGGUUCACCAACCACAAUAACUUCACAGUUGUAUACUUGCCUCCUUACUCCCCAUUUCUCAAUCCGAUUGAGGAAUUAUUUUUGGCUUGGCGUUGGAAAGUGUAUGACCUCCAACCACAUGCCCGCCUGCCUCUAUUGCAAGCAAUGGAAGAGGCAUGCAGAGACAUUGAGGUAGGGUCAGUCCAGGGUUGGAUAAGGCAAGCAAGGCAAUAUUUUCCCCGUUGCCUAACCAGGGAUGACAUUGCUUGUGAUGUGGAUGAGGUGAUGUGGCCAGACCCUAACAGAAGGAAGGAUCCAUAAAACAUCCACCCCAUCCCUUACAAUUUUUACCAUUGCACUGUAAUUUUACUGUCAUUAUUUUUGCUUCUGAGUUUACAGUAACAUAUUGUGUUGAUUACGGUAAUGUAAUUAUACUUUUCUUUGUUUUUUUUUGUUGUAAAAACCCGCAAUGGCAAAAAAUAAGCUGUAUAUUUUUUUUCUGAAGCCUUUCUAUUUUUAUGUUCAUUGAAAUGUACUGGAACAAUAUUUCACAGAAGCCUGUAUGACAAAAUGAAAAAGGUAUACAAAGUACUAAAGUAUUUGUAUAAAGUA